AGAAUUAUAUAAAUGGAAAAUACCGGUGAUGAAACGUGAUAUGGGCCUACAGCGAUAUUAAAGGAACACUGCGACAACCACGUUAUUCCGCAGGAUACCGCAAGAAAUCUCUCUAGUGCUCGAUGGAAGAUAUAGUGCUAAAGGGUGGACGUUGAUAGCUGUCCGUGCCGGAAGGAACGUACGUGUCUAUAAGAAAUUAUUUACACACAAA
rnacentral:misc_RNA from 1 species